GCCCCAGUAGUGCAAUAGGUAGCGCGUUGGACUUCUAAUCCAAAGGUCGUGGACUCGAAUUCCAUCUGGGGUG